UCUCUUCCCUCCUCUGUCCUCUCUCCUCACUCUUCCCUCCUCACUCCUCCGUCCUCCCUCACUCCUCACUCUUCCCUCCUCACUCUUCCCUCCUCUGUCCUCUCUCCUCACUCCUCCCUCUCUCCUCACUCUUCCCUCCUCUCUCCUCCCUCCUCUCUCCUCUGUCCUCUGCUCAGGUACCGCGAGGAGUCGGUGCCGCUCCACCCGUGUCUGCUGCUCGUCAGCAACUGUGAGCAGACGCUGUCCAGCCACACGUCUCGCCGCCUCAUCGCCAUGGAGAAGGUCAAGCAGCCCGAGGAACUGGACCGCCUGGCUCAGCGGGCCGCGCCGCGCUGCAGUCCGUUCCAGGGACACAACGCCUUCAGGGAGAAGUACUUCAGUGGCGUGAACAAGAGGUGUGGCAAGGAGGACGGCCGGGCGGCGCUCAACGGCGAGUGAGGACUCGAGGGACGCGUCUUUUUCUAAAUGUCACAUUAUUUUAAUUAUGAUUCUUUAUAUGCCUGUACUUAUUGCUUUGCAAAUAAAUGGAUAAAACAAA